GAAGGAAAGUUUUUUAGUUUUUUAUUCACAUUUGUAUUGUAUAAAAUAGUAUUAUAGCAUAUAUAAAAAUGUGGUCUCUUGUUGUGUGGGAAGAGAAUGGUAAGUUCAUGGAAGAUGUAAUUCCACAUGUUUGGGUUGAAGGUGAUGUGCUUCGAUGGCCACCCGAAGGUCUUUCAGCUGACCGUGCCUCAUCAAAAAAAUUUUGAUGAGGCACAAACCUAAUUUUGAUAUAUCUGCAGGUACCAGUUUACUUUUAACAGUAAUUUUAUAAGAUGUUUUUCUCUGUUGUAUGAAAUUAAAUUUAAUAGUGUCUUCUUUAAACUUUCUUUAUGAUUUGUAAAAUAGUUUAUGUAUUGUUUAUUCAAUACGAUAAAAAUGGAGUUAAAAAAAGUGGGUUUAAAAGAGUGAUUUUUUUUCUUAUCGUUGCAGUAAGCGUGUCUGAUGAUGGUUCAGAGGAUAAGGAAUUUAUUCUUAUGUCAAAUACAAGUUUUCAACGCUCAGUUCUUUCUUUUCAACAAAACGUUGUUCGAUGGAUGCGCAACAACAGGUGCUGCAGUGGGAACAGUUUAAUUAGCAAUUAACUGUUCGUUGGUUAAUGAUACGGACGUGAUCACCACUAUCGAUGAGUAUAUGGAAUUUGAACAAAAUCUAUUGGAUGACUCGUUUCUAUCUGUAAAACUGACGCAACUUCGCCUUGUUGGAGGAUACGAUUGGAGAGAUUGCGUCAAGAGCCUCGUGAAACGUGUUAUGAGCAGAGAUGUAAUGGCUAAUUUAAACAUGUAGGGUCAUGGUAAAGGAACAAAUAAAAAAAUUAAAUUUGCAGAUUCAAUAGUAUACCGCCUUCUAUACAAUGCUGUGCUUCAUAACUUUCCAAAAACAACUGAAGCUGAGUUUUACAAGAUAAUUCAAAACGUUUUAAGAAAUGCUCCAGCACGCAAGAACACUGAACUAAAAUUAUAAUAUUUAAUAGUUUCAUUUUAA